rnacentral:rRNA from 1 species
GACGAACGCUGGCGGCGUGCUUAACACAUGCAAGUCGAACGGAAAGGCCCUGCUUGCAGGGUACUCGAGUGGCGAACGGGUGAGUAACACGUGGGUGAUCUGCCCUGCACUUCGGGAUAAGCCUGGGAAACUGGGUCUAAUACCGGAUAGGAGCCAUUUUUAGUGUGAUGGUUGGAAAGUUUUUUCGGUGUAGGAUGAGCUCGCGGCCUAUCGGCUUGUUGGUGGGGUAAUGGCCUACCAAGGCGGCGACGGGUAGCCGGCCUGAGGGGGUGGACGGCCACAUUGGGGCUGAGAAACGGACCAGACACCGACGGGAGGCAGCGGAGGGGAAUAGUGCACAAUGGGCGCAAGCCGGAUGCAGCGACGCCGCGGGGGGGAUGACGGCCUUCGGGUUGUAAACUCGUUUCGCUAGGAACGAAGCUGUUUGUGACGGUACCUAGAUAAGAAGCACCGGCUAACUACGUG